GACGAACGCUGGCGGCGUGCUUAACACAUGCAAGUCGAACGGAAAGGCCCUGCUUUUGUGGGGUGCUCGAGUGGCGAACGGGUGAGUAACACGUGAGUAACCUGCCCUUGACUUUGGGAUAACUUCAGGAAACUGGGGCUAAUACCGGAUAGGAGCUCCUGCUGCAUGGUGGGGGUUGGAAAGUUUCGGCGGUUGGGGAUGGAUUCGCGGCUUAUCAGCUUGUUGGUGGGGUAGUGGCUUACCAAGGCUUUGACGGGUAGCCGGCCUGAGAGGGUGACCGGCCACAUUGGGACUGAGAUACGGCCCAGACUCCUACGGGAGGCAGCAGUGGGGAAUAUUGCACAAUGGGCGGAAGCCUGAUGCAGCAACGCCGCGUGCGGGAUGACGGCCUUCGGGUUGUAAACCACUUUCGCCUGUGACGAAGCGUGAGUGACGGUAAUGGGUAAAGAAGCACCGGCUAACUACGUG
rnacentral:rRNA from 1 species